CAUAGCCACGGUAAUACGGAGGGAGCUAGCGUUGUUCGGAAUUACUGGGCGUAAAGCGCGCGUAGGCGGUUACUCAAGUCAGAGGUGAAAGCCCGGGGCUCAACCCCGGAACUGCCUUUGAAACUAGGUGACUAGAAUCUUGGAGAGGUCAGUGGAAUUCCGAGUGUAGAGGUGAAAUUCGUAGAUAUUCGGAAGAACACCAGUGGCGAAGGCGACUGACUGGACAAGUAUUGACGCUGAGGUGCGAAAGCGUGGGGAGCAAACAGGAUUAGAGACCCGCGUAGUCCCUGUCUCUUAUACA
rnacentral:rRNA from 1 species